AAACUCAAAGGAAUUGACGGGGACCCGCACAAGCAGCGGAGCAUGUGGUUUAAUUCGAAGCAACGCGAAGAACCUUACCAAGGCUUGACAUAUACAGGGAUAUACUAGAGAUAGUAUAGUUUCUUCGGAAACUUGUAUACAGGUGGUGCAUGGUUGUCGUCAGCUCGUGUCGUGAGAUGUUGGGUUAAGUCCCGUAACGAGCGCAACCCUUAUCUUUAGUUACCAGCAUUUCGGAUGGGGACUCUAGAGAGACUGCCGGUGAUAAACCGGAGGAAGGUGGGGAUGACGUCAAAUCAUCAUGCCCUAUAUGUCUUGGGCUACACACGUGCUACAAUGGUCUGAACAAAGCGCAGCUACCUCGUGAGAGCAAGCGAAUCGCAUAAAACAGAUCUCAGUUCGGAUUGUAGGCUGCAACUCGCCUACAUGAAGUCGGAGUUGCUAGUAAUCGUGGAUCAGAACGCCACGGUGAAUGCGUUCCCGGGUCUUGUACACACCGCCCGUCACACCAUGGGAGUUGGCAAUACCCGAAGCCGUCGAGCUAACCGUUAGGAGGCAGACGUCGAAGGUAGGGUCAAUAACUGGGGUGAAGUCGUAACAAGGUAGCCGUAUCGGAAGGUGCGGCUGGAUCACCUCCUUUCUAAGGAA
rnacentral:rRNA from 1 species